AUCACUUCUCGGCCUUUUGGCUAAGAUCAAGUGUAGUAAGUUUAUAAUUUUAAAUCACAGUUUUGUUGUUUAGAGUAGUUGUGAAUAUAACUAAA
rnacentral:snRNA from 1 species